rnacentral:rRNA from 1 species
UACAGAGGUGGCAAGCGUUGUUCGGAAUUACUGGGCGUAAAGGGCGCGUAGGCGGUCUUGUAAGUCCUGUGUGAAAUCCCUCGGCUCAACUGAGGAACUGCACGGGAAACUGCUUGGCUUGAGUUCGGGAGAGGGAAGCGGAAUUCCGGGUGUAGCGGUGAAAUGCGCAGAUAUCAGGAGGAACACCGGUGGCGAAGGCGGGUCUCUGGGCCGAUACUGACGCUGAGGAGCGAAAGCGUGGGGAGCGAACAGG